rnacentral:rRNA from 1 species
GACGAGCCUCACAAACGUUAUUCGGAAUUACUGGGCUUAAAGGGUGCGUAGGCGGUGCGGAAAGUUGGGUGUGAAAUCCCUCGGCUUAACCGAGGAAUUGCGCUCAAAACUACCGUGCUCGAGGGAGAUAGAGGAAUGCGGAACUUACGGUGGAGCGGUGAAAUGCGUUGAUAUCGUAGGGAACACCGGUGGCGAAAGCGGCAUUCUGGAUCUCUUCUGACGCUGAUGCACGAAAGCUAGGGUAGCAAACAGG